GACGAACGCUGGCGGCGUGCUUAACACAUGCAAGUCGAACGGAAAGGCCCUGCUUUUGUGGGGUGCUCGAGUGGCGAACGGGUGAGUAACACGUGAGUAACCUGCCCUUGACUUUGGGAUAACUUCAGGAAACUGGGGCUAAUACCGGAUAGGAGCUCCUGCUGCAUGGUGGGGGUUGGAAAGUUUCGGCGGUUGGGGAUGGACUCGCGGCUUAUCAGCUUGUUGGUGGGGUAGUGGCUUACCAAGGCUUUGACGGGUAGCCGGCCUGGGAGGGUGACCGGCCACAUAGGGACUGAGAUACGACCCGGACUCCUACGGGAGGCAGCAGUGGGGAAUAUUGCACAAUGGGCGGAAGCCUGAUGCAGCAACGCCGCGUGCGGGAUGACGGCCUUCGGGUUGUAAACCGCUUUCGCCUGUGACGAAGCGUGAGUGACGGGAAUGGGUAAAGAAGCACCGGCUAACUACGU
rnacentral:rRNA from 1 species